rnacentral:rRNA from 1 species
CUACGGGAGGCAGCAGGCGCGAAACCUUUACAAUGCACGCAAGUGUGAUAAGGGAAUCCCAAGUGCUUUACUUCUGUAAAGCUUUUUUUAAGUGUAAAUAGCUUGAAGAAUAAGUGGUGGGCAAGACUGGUGCCAGCCGCCGCGGUAACACCAGCGCCACAAGUGGCGAUCACGUUUAUUGGGUCUAAAGGGUCCGUAGCCAGUUUGAUAAGUUUUUUGUGAAAUUGUUAAGCUUAACCUAACAACGUGCAAAAAAAACUAGCAAACUAGGAACCAAGAGGAGAUAGAAGUAUCUUAAGGGGAAUGGUAAAAUAUGAUAAUCCUUAGGAGACUACCGGUGGCGAAGGCGUCUAUCUAGAAUGGGUUCGACGGUGAGGGACGAAAGCUAGGGGAGCAAUCCGGAUUAGAUACCCUUGUAGUC